ACACAAAGAACCCGGGCUCGCCGAGCGCGCGCGCACACCCUCAUGCCGCGCGGCGAACGUUCGUUGCCAGGUGCGGCAGCCCGCCCUGGGCGCCUCCUGCCUGCGGAAGAAGAGCAGGACAGACCCGACCCGACCCGCCUAGUCCUUUCCUUCACAGCAGCCUCCAAACUCCACCGCUCGCCUCUUCCGCCAGGCUCCUAGGAUGAGGCCCAGGGCUCCUGGAGCAGCCAGGUGCAAACCAGACCGGGCUCGCACUCCACUGCGUUGCCCUGGGCGAUCGUCCACGUUCUGGGAGACUCGGUAUGCCCCGGGAGGGUGGCCUGAGCUUGUGGUGUGAAGCCAGGUACAGAGCUCCAGAAUCCUGGCCUUGCCAUGGCUGUGUGACCCUGGGCAAGUGACUCAAUUUCUCUGCCUCAGUGUCCUCAUCUAUAAAAUGGAAAGGAAAAUAGUAGCGCUUGUCUCCUCCGGCUGUUAUGAAGAUCCAAGGUUAACAGCGUAGAGAACUCGGAACGCACCCGGCAUCUAGGAAGUGCCAAGCCAGUGUCAGCUAAUGUGACUAUUUUUAAAUGGAGAUGGGGAGUGUGCCAUUAUUCUUGUCCUUAUUUGAAUGAACGGGCCCUCAGGGACCAUUUUCCACUGCCCCGCCCUGGCAGCAUGAGAGGGAAACGCUGUGAGAACCCCGAACCCCAGCCUUCUCCUGUCCCUCUCUCUCUCUCUCUCUCUCUGCACCUGGGAGGCGGGGAGGAGAGAGCCGAUCCUUCCACCAUUUACACGGAGAAUGAAAGAAGAAAUACCGGCCAGGCGCGGUGGCUCAUGCCUGUAAUCCCAGCACUUUGGGAGGCCGAGGGGGCAGAUCACCUGAGGUCAGGAGUUCGAGACCAGCCUGGCCAACAUGGCGAAACUCCGUCUCUACUAAAAGUACAAAAAUUAGCCUGGCGUGGUGCCGGGUGCCUAUAAUCCCAGCUACUCAGGAGGCUGAGGCAGGAGAAUCCCUUGAACCCGGGAGGCGGAGGUUGCAGUGAGCCGAGAUCACGCCACUGCACUCCAGCCUGGGUGACAAGAAUGAGUCUCAAAAAAACAAAAAAGAAGAAGAAGAAGAAAUACCACACAGGUCCGACCAAGAGCUGCCCCCACUCAGGCCAGGAUCCCUGCCUGGAAGGGCUCUGCAGCCACUCUCCCUGUACAGCCCCAGGAUGCUAAGGAGCAUCCCGAAGUGACACUGGCUCUCCCUGGAGGCCCCUGCCAUCGGACUCCAACCUGACCUUCCAGUGGGUGCUCCUCAUACUGGCUCCAGCCAAGACAGACGAGGACCACUGGGCACAUGCCCUUCCUUGCCUUCCUGUCACCCUUCCCACCCUUCUCUGCGGGCCCCGGGUGGCCCCUUCCUCCAGGAAGCACCUGGGGAUCAGCAGUGCCUCUAGGGUCCCAGUGGCCCACGUGACAUCUGCUUCUGGCCACCUGAGCACUCUCCUUUGAGUUCAGGGUCACUGUACCCUUUUAUAGGUGAGCAAACGAAAGCUGAGGAAGAGGAGUGACUGGGUCUCCCACAUCCCUCUGCUUCAGCUAUGAGGUUCCCUCAUGAACUGCAGGAAUAGACGUCAAGCAAAAACUCCUCAGACGCCCUGUGCAUGUGUGGUCGCACAGGGCACAAAGACUGAAGCAAAGGGGCAGGUCCUAGCGUGGGGAGGGGACUCCAGGAUUGAAGUUUGAACCAAAAGGAGGCUUUGACUAAGCCACGAGCAGUGAAGCCGGCAGGAGAGGAAGCAAGUUCUAGCAGAGAAAUUCGCCGGGUAUGGUGGUGCAUGCCUAUGGUCCCAGCUACUCAGGAGGCUGAGGCAGGAGGAUCACUUGAGCCCGGGAGGUGAAGGCUGCGGUAAGCUAUGACUACACCACUGCACUCCAGCCUAGGUGCGAGAGCAAGACCCUGUCUCCAAACAACAACAACAACAACAAAAUCUGAAUGCCUGGUUUAUCUUGAAAUAUGGCAAAAUGGGGCCACCCAGGCCCAUUAACCCCCUGUCUACAAUGUCCUGGAGCUGAGGGGCAUUAGCCACCCUCUCACAUGGGCUCCCCAGGGUGCCACAGCUCCCUCCUAGCUAGUUUGCUCUUUUCUGUCACCUACCGGCCCUUGCAGGGAGCUGAAUUUGAGACCCAUGAUGCACUUUGUGCACCCUGCCCCCUCAAAGAUAACUGUGAGUACCAAGGGAAAUGGAAAGCUUUGGCAACAAGAAGGGAGCUUCAAGGAAAGCCAGGCCGAGGUUCCCCUCAGAACCAUAGACUAGCCUGAAAUUCCACUGGGACUAAUUCUUCUCAUUUCAAGAAUGAAAAUCGAUUGCUGGACAGAGCUCCCGGAGGGCCAAUUUUCAGGCUGUAGUCUACAGCCGUCCACGUAGAGGCAGUGAACGAAAUUUUUCAAAGCCUACUUUAUGAUUACUUUCUUUAGCAGCUCUCAACAGUAAAAUAAAAUUGAUCUAGGACUUUGAACAAAACUUCUCGCCCCUUUCUAGGGAAGAGUUUGUCUCGUCUAUCAGGCCACCAACAAGAGUUGUUGCAAUGCCUGUGGGAGGUGCAGCCCACGCUGGGCCACCUGGCCAGCUCAGGGAUCCUGCUGGAGAUCGAGGAUUGUCUGGUCGGCCUCUUACAACUCUCAGAACAUCAUCCCUGGGAGCAGCCCUGAAGAGACCAAGGAAUGGAAAAACAGAUGGAAGGACUGCAACUCACAGGUGAAAAGGAACCGGCUACGAGAGGCUCCAAACCAAGGGAGCAGCGGAGUUUGUCUCCAAAACACCGAGCCCAGUGAGAGAAGCCAGAGCCACAGACCAGAUGCCCUGCAUGCGGGAUGGGAAGGGGCUCCAUCCUUACCUGGGGCAGGUCACUCCAGUGUGUGCUGUCGCGUUUCACUGUAGGAAGUGUAGACCUCAGUAAAAAUCCCAAGGAAAACCCCCAGACCCACUCAGGCUUCCUUCCUGCUUUGAACCACCUCAUGGCCCCCACCACACUGCCACUAAGCCACACUCCUGGCAGCCUCUGAGAUACCCCCUACCUGACCCUCCGCCACUCUCCUCCUCUGCCUCCCUCACUCCCAGCCUCUCUGGCCCCCUGGCUUUCCCUCCAACUCCAGGCUCCCCUCUCUCUGCCUCAGGGCCUUUGCCCCUGUCUUGCUCCCUGCCCCAGGCUCUUCCCCUCAGCCCUUCCCAGGUCUGGCUCCUUCUCCCUAGGCCUCAGCUCCAGUGUCUCAUCCCCAGAGACCUUCCCAGACCACCAUGUCUCAGACAGCCCCGGCUGCCUCCUGCCUGCCCUGCACCAGCCCUGAGCCAUCGCCUCAUUUUAUUCUCAUUCUAACUUGGAUAAUGGUUGCUCAAUCAAGAAGAAGCUGCCAGGCACAGUGGCUUGUGCCUGUAACCCCAGAACUUUGAGAGGCUGAGCGGGGUGGAUCACCCAAAGUCAGGAGUUCAAGACCAGCCUGGCCAACAUGGUGAAAUGCCGUCUCUACUAAAAAUACAAAAAUUCGCUGGGUGUGGUGGUGGGUGCUUGUAAUCCUAGCUACUCAGGAGGCUGAGACAGGAGAAUCCCUUGAACCCAGAGGCAGAGGUUACAGUGAGCCGAGAUCGUGCCACUGCCCUCCAGCCUGGGCAACAAAGAGUGAAACUCUUGUCUAAAAAAAAAAAGAAGAAGAAGAAGGAGAAGGAGAAGGAGCGGGAGAAGGAGAAGAAGAAGAAGAAGAAGAAGCCUCAGUGAAGUGCUCCAGCAUCUUCACCCCCUUGGUCACUUGCUCAUCUCCUUGAUGAACAAAAGCGGCCCCAGAUCAGAGCCAUCGAGCACCUGCAGCCAGCAAGGUUGGCUGGUUUUCAUUGUGUGCAUUUUUAAGGCGUCUUCUAUUUAUAGAAAGGAUUGUGGUCUUGCAUUUGUAGCAGCGAUGAAAGCUUUACUUUUUGGCAAAAUGUGUGCAAGUUGUUUAGAAGUGAGUCUGUUUGAAAAAAAAAAUUAAAUGAAUAAUGAUUUAGGAGGUGAGUUUGUUUCCUAGGGCUGCUGUGAUGAAGUGCCA
rnacentral:lncRNA from 1 species